rnacentral:rRNA from 1 species
GUAGGUGGCAAGCGUUGUCCGGAAUUAUUGGGCGUAAAGCGCGCGCAGGCGGUCCUUUAAGUCUGAUGUGAAAGCCCACGGCUCAACCGUGGAGGGCCAUUGGAAACUGGGGGACUUGAGUACAGAAGAGGAAAGCGGAAUUCCAAGUGUAGCGGUGAAAUGCGUAGAGAUUUGGAGGAACACCAGUGGCGAAGGCGGCUUUCUGGUCUGUAACUGACGCUGAGGCGCGGAAGCGUGGGGAGCAAACAGGAUUAGAUACCCUGGUAGUCCACGCCGUAAACGAUGAGUGCUAGGUGUUAGGGGGUUUCCCGCCCCCUUAGUGCUGCAGCUAACGCAUUAAGCACUCCGCCUGGGGAGUACGGCCCGCAAGGCUG